CAAUGACUGAGCACACGGGGGCGCCACUUCCUCACUAGUAUCCAGAGCCUCUGGACGUCGUGCUGUCUCGGGGUGUCACAAGACUCUCAGCUCACAAGACGAGACGAUGCACGACAUUGGGUCUACGAAAGGCGGUGAGAUCACUCCGUUCAUGCCGUUCUGUGGAACACGCCAAGGUGCACAGAGUGAAUCCUCUUCCUGGCUGUUUGGAGGACUUGGCACCUGCACACAGUGCCAAAACUACCAGUACCUGCUUUAAGGGCCGUGGUAUCCCUGUCCUUAAUUGGCCAGCAAACUCGCCUGACCAAAACCUCAUAGAAAAUCUACGGGGUAUUGUCAAGAGCAAAAUGCGAUACGCCAGACCCAACAAUGCAGAAGAGCUGAAGGCCAAUAUCACAGCAACCUGGGCUCUCACAACACCUGAGGAGUGCCACAGACUGAUCGCCUCCAUGCCACGCCGUGUUGCUGCAGUAAUUCAGGCAAAAGGAGCCUGGAGUGCUGUGCAUGUUCAUGCUUUUCAUGUUCAGACUUUUCAGUU